rnacentral:rRNA from 1 species
AUUGAACGCUGGCGGCAGGCCUAACACAUGCAAGUCGAGCGAGCGGCGGACGGGUGAGUAAUGUCUGGGAAACUGCCUGAUGGAGGGGGAUAACUACUGGAAACGGUAGCUAAUACCGCAUACCAUCAGAUGUGCCCAGAUGGGAUGAGCUAGUAGGUGGGGUAACGGCUCACCUAGGCGACGAUCCCUAGCUGGUCUGAGAGGAUGACCAGGAAGAGGUGAACGGAGACAAGGGCCAGACUACUACGGGAGGGGGCAGUGGGGAAUAUGGGACAAUGGGCGAAAGUCUGAGGGAGCCAUGCCGCGUGUGUGAAGAAGGCCUUCGGGUUGUAAAGCACUGUCAGCGGGGAGGCGUUACCCGCAGAAGAAGCACCGGCUAACUCCGUGCCAGCAGCCGCGGUAAUAC